GAAUUUUUUAUUUUUAAUAUUAAAGAGCUUUGUUAAACUUAGACUUAAGUUUAGGUCAUUUUGGGGGUUUAGCUCAGUUGGCUAGAGCAUCGGCUUUGCAAGCCGAGGGUCAAGGGUUCGAGUCCCUUAACCUCCAUUGGGCUUAUGUCCUAAAUCGUAAUUAAGUAUGUUUUUAAGUAACUUUGUUAAAGUAAUUGUUGGAAUGUGAAACAGAGGAAGUUAAAAUUUCUGGGUUAAGUUGAGAUCUGUUGAUAUUAAGAAGAAUCUCUAGAAGCAAAAGCAAGCUUUCGAUAAAACCCGAAGUUGUUUCGCUAAAGUGCAAGGAUUAAACAGGAUUGUAUUUUCCAGUAGCCUAUUUUAUAAACGAUCUGCAUUUAGUAAAUAGUUUUUAGUUAAGAAAUAAUGUAGAUUGCUAAGUGUGAUGCCUGAAAGAAGGACAAGUAUUGUAGCGAGCCUAAAUCCUUGUUAUCGUUGCCAGUAUUUAGUGGUAGGGAUUCGGAUAAGACUGCCAUUUAUAAGUUGGAGGAAGGCAAAGAUUGCAUUAAAUCGUUAUCGCUCUUAUGUUUUAGGUUACAAGUUUGCCACAAUAACCCAAAAAAGCUAAGCAAAAUGCUAUAAAGCAGAUUUCAGUUUGGAUUUGCCCGACACUCAAUGGC
rnacentral:tRNA from 1 species